GCUGAAAAUACCUGUUCUCGUUCGAUCACGGGAGUUAAUCAGUGUCCGUCCCAGUCAGUACUUAGAUGGGUGACCGCUUGGAAAAACCGG